AGAUUGAACGCUGGCGGCAUGCCUUACACAUGCAAGUCGAACGGUAGAGUAGCAAUACUUGAGAGUGGCGAACGGGUGAGUAAUAUAUCGGAACGUGCCCAGUCGUGGGGGAUAACGUAGAGAAAUUUACGCUAAUACCGCAUACGAUCUAAGGAUGAAAGCGGGGGACCGUAAGGCCUCGCGCGAUUGGAGCGGCUGAUAUCAGAUUAGGUUGUUGGUGAGGUAAAAGCUCACCAAGCCGACGAUCUGUAGCUGGUUUGAGAGAACGACCAGCCACACUGGACUGAGACACGGCCCAGACUCCUACGGGAGGCAGCAGUGGGAAUUUUGGACAAUGGGCGAAAGCCUGAUCCAGCAAUGCCGCGUGCAAGGAAGAAGGCCUUCGGUUGUAAACGUGUCUUUGUACGGAACGAAACGGUCUAGUCUUUAAUACAGUGGCUAAUGACGUACCGUAAGAAUAAGCACCGCUAACUACGUAGCCAGCAGCCGACGGUAAU
rnacentral:rRNA from 1 species